rnacentral:rRNA from 1 species
UACGUAGGCAGCGAGCGUUGUUCGGAAUUACUGGGCGUAAAGAGUGUGUAGGCGGUGCUCCCAGUCUGUUGUGAAAUCUCCCGGCUUAACUGGGAGGGUGCAGCGGAAACUAGAGUGCUAGAGGGUGGGAGAGGUAAGCGGAAUUCCUGGUGUAGCGGUGAAAUGCGUAGAUAUCAGGAGGAACACCUGUGGUGUAGACAGCUUACUGGACCACUUCUGACGCUGAGACACGAAAGCGUGGGGAGCGAACAGG